CUGGAGUCUUGGAAAGCAGUGGGAAAAAAAGGGGAAAAAAAGUCUCUUAUGGUAUCUUUUAGGGUGAGAGCAAAUAUACAAAAUUUAAAAAACAUACUCCGCAGUUAACUCAUGAUAGAAGAUAACAGCGAUAGUUUUUCAUUAAAAAUAAACAGAAGUAACUCUGGAUAUGAGUUACACAAAAUAAGAUUAUAAGCACAGUAGCUGUGAUUUUAACUUUUCUUCUCUUCCAAAUGGGGAUUUCCCAGGAUGUCUCAAAUGGGCAGGCUCUGACUAAGACCUGUGGCAGAUCAGCCUUGCUCUGCUGCCGGAGCACUUUCAGCUGGAAGGUGCCGUGUGGUGAAGGAGCUCUUUAGUGACAGGAAGUGACUGGGUGCGAGAAGGUUUAUAGGGCUCCACUUCGGGCGACAAGGAAGUACGAGACUGACUGUAAAUGAUUUGGGGACUGUCCCCACAGAUUCUUCUCGGCCUUUCUGUUUAAAGAAAACAACCUGUUGGUGGCUCCAGCUGCAAUGUAGGCGGCUUGUAAAGGCGAUGUUAGGAGAAGCUUGAGAGAGAAGAGAUGAGGGUCGGGAAUCCACUCUUGCCCCUCCUUUCUGGAACUCCCCGGUUUUUAAAGUGGUGGACGGUGCCGGCAGAGCAGCCAACUCGAAGCAGAGAUGAAGUGCAGCUGCGGGUGCUGGUGUGAGCCCCAGUGAGAGGAUGUGGAAGAAGAGCAUUUGUGUGAAUCAAAUUACUUUGAUGGUCUGUUCUAGCCCAAGGAUUUCAGAAAAUGAAGUGAAUAUUCCUGCCAUAAUACUUAAAGAAAAAACAAAAUAUACAAACAAAAACCCCAAACCUUGAAAGGCCUUCACCUUGGCUCCGAGGGCUGGCAUUUCACCUCCCUGUGGACUCCUCGUAAUCACCAAAAGGAAUUUGAGGGCAAAUUUAGAAACCUUGCUGAAAAUAUGUUAGCCCCCAUGAAGGAGAAAUGAGGAUUGCUGAUACUGUUCUUGUCUAAUAAAGAGAGCCCUGGAACAAACGCAAAUGCCUCAUCAGUGAGCACCGGACUGCCACGAUACAGACUCACUGCUAUAAAGUCAUCUAAUCUGUGGAAGGAACAGUUUCUUGCUGAAUAAAUACACAUGUGAAACCGUCACUAAGCUUAUAGGCAAAGGCAGUUUAAACCAUUGAAUAAAUAUGAAAAUGUUUGUCAUUUAAAAAAUAGAUUCUAGAAAAGAAUCAAAGGGUACAGAUAACAGACAUUUCUGGCUGGAACUGACGGUGUGUGACCAACUGCAGCAGCCAGGGAACAAUGGCUCCGAGGAGAGAGAGUCACAACGUCCAGCGAUUCCUGGAACUCCAGCCCAGCCGGCCAUCCGAGUCCUCCGUCCGCUCACCGAGCUGUGCUGGAAACUAACCUGUCACGGUGGAACUGAGCCCGAGGGAGGUGCCACAAAGUGAAACUGGCUUCUGGAUCUGCCGGGUGAGAGUGAAAGUAAAGGUCACUUUUUGGUCCCCUGAGACCAAGACGCGACAGCAGCUCAUCCCUCAGCCCCGCAUCCUUCCUUCCGAGCCCCGGAUCACGCAGACCUUACAGAGUCUUCAUACGGAGUGGUGAACACCACCAGUUUCUCAUCUUUGUUCAUGAGCUGUCCGCACGGAAUCUAAAAAGAAAAAAAAAAAUGAAGGACGUGAGGCUCAGACGUGUCUCAAAUGAAGUUUACUAUCCCAGCCAGAUGCGAGAAGACAGACCACAAGCUUACCUUCUGCCGGGUCCUAAUCAAAGUGACAAAGGAGACAAUUGGACAAAAGAUACUCUGCAAUCAAAGGGCUUCUCUUUCAAGUGGAAGCAAAUAAAUAAAAUAAAGCCCACCCUGAGGACACAGGCCUUGUCAAUAUCAUUGCCUCAUUUCUUUCAGAGGAAAUAAACAACAGAAGGCCAGGAUUGAGAAAACAUUUGGAGUCUCGCUUUGUUGCCUGGGCUAGAGUGCCGUGGUGUCA